GGACAGAUGGCCGAGUUGGUUAUGGCGCCAGGUUAAGGUUACUUAACAAGUAGUAGGGCGUGGGUUCGAAUCCCACUCUGUUCA
rnacentral:tRNA from 1 species